rnacentral:lncRNA from 1 species
GUUCAUGAUUAAUUUAUGAAGACAUACAAUAUUUUGAAAACAACAAUCAAUAAAACGAAAAUAAAUAUUAAUAAAAUGCACACAAAUUUUCAUGCGCAGCUAGUAUGCACUUCAAUUCACUCAUUGAAACAUGAAUAAUCCUUGUUUGAGAGUGCAUUAGUCUUGUCUAAAAGUUAUUUUUAAGUGUGAGUCUAUUCCAUUUAUGUAUACAUGUAGAAUCUCUGCAGGCUUUCAAUGCUUCUCAUGUAACUUGAUAAACUUCCAAUGAUUAGGUUGACAUAAUUGUGAUCUG